rnacentral:rRNA from 1 species
CCUACGGGAGGCAGCAGUGGGGAAUAUUGGACAAUGGGGGAAACCCUGAUCCAGCGACGCCGCGUGAGUGAAGAAGUAUUUCGGUACGUAAAGCUCUAUCAGCAGGAAAGAGAAUGACGGUACCUGACCAAGAAGCCCCGGCUAAAUACGUGCCAGCAGCCGCGGUAAUACGUAUGGGGCAAGCGUUAUCCGGAUUUACUGGGUGUAAAGGGAGCGUAGGCGGCAGGGCAAGCCUGAUGUGAAAGCCCGGGGCUCAACCCCGGGACUGCAUUGGGAACUGCCCCGCUCGAGUGCCGGAGGGGCAGGCGGAAUUCCUAGUGUAGCGGUGAAAUGCGUAGAUAUUAGGAGGAACACCAGUGGCGAAGGCGGCCUGCUGGACGGUGUACUGACGCUGAGGCUCGAAAGCGUGGGGAGCAAACAGGAUUAGAUACCCUUGUAGUC